GACGAACGCUGGCGGCGUGCCUAAUACAUGCAAGUUGAGCGCUGAAGGUUGGUACUUGUACCAACUGGAUGAGCAGCGAACGGGUGAGUAACGCGUGGGGAAUCUGCCUUUGAGCGGGGGACAACAUUUGGAAACGAAUGCUAAUACCGCAUAAAAACUUUAAACACAAGUUUUAAGUUUGAAAGAUGCAAUUGCAUCACUCAAAGAUGAUCCCGCGUUGUAUUAGCUAGUUGGUGAGGUAAAGGCUCACCAAGGCGAUGAUACAUAGCCGACCUGAGAGGGUGAUCGGCCACAUUGGGACUGGGACACGGCCCAAACUCCUACGGGAGGCAGCAGUAGGGAAUCUUCGGCAAUGGACGAAAGGCUGACCGAGCAACGCCGCGUGAGGGAAGAAGGGUUUCGGAUCGUAAAACUCUGUUGGUAGAGAAGAACGUUGGUGAGAGUGGAAAGCUCAUCAAGUGACGGUAACUACCCAGAAAGGGACGGCUAACUACGUG
rnacentral:rRNA from 1 species